rnacentral:lncRNA from 1 species
GCACUGUUAACUGCUUUUUAGGGGGAGGGGAAAGCUGGAGUGGGAAGGCUGAUAUGAAAGCCAGAAACUAACCAGCUGAAGGAAUAAUGACACGAAAGGAAAUGACAAAAUUGGAAAGAUCCAUCAGUAUAAUCGUGCUGCAUUAAUAACAGUAUCUGGGUAGGAGAAGAAUCAUUUGACCAUUAGACCCUGAAUUGUUACAUCUCUCUUUUCCCAAUGAAUAUGAGAUGCAGAAAUACUUUCAGAUAUUAACAAAAAGCUGUAUGGAGACCUCAUUAAUAUUUCUUAGCCCAAUCAUGCUUCAUUAACAACCCAAACCCUGUGUUUUUAGAGUAUGCCAACAUUAUAUGUAAAUACAUUAACAU